AGGGCACCGGCAGGCUGGUGUGGAAGUGUAGUGCAGCCAUGCUUGAAGAGAGGACAGGACCCAAGGAAAGGUGACAGUAAGAGGACAAAAACACGAAAUAUUCGCAGCCCUCUUUAGAACAUCCUCCAUCUAGGCAAAAUCUAUUAGGAAUUUUAAGAGGCCUCAAUUAAACAUGAGUGCCCAGUGUCCUGCUGAACAGGAAUUCAUUCUUCAGUUGAAGCUCUAUUGUCAGUAAAACUACUCAGGAUAAGGCAGCCGUGUUUAGGCCGUGAGGACCUGCCCCUGGACUGCGGAGCUUGCUCCGUAAAAGGCGUCGUGAUACCCCCUCAAAUGGAUUUACAGAAAAGACUCAGCUAUUGGAAAUCUUUGGGAUUGUAUGGCAUCAUGAGGUAACAGACCUGGUAAAUAGCUAGAACGUAGAGAAGAAUGAAACCAGAGGCAGUGUGCUGUUGGAACUGAGAGGACUGAAAACUGGAUAUUUGGUCCCCAUGGACUUUCUGGUCACCUUGUGAGGUGGACUUACUUUUUCUUGAGUCAUGUGGAAGACUCUGAAGUCAGAAGUUUUUAAGACUCUCAGGCUUACUGUGGAUCUGGAUUCUAAGGCAACACUUCCUUGAAGAAACAAGCUUACAGUUGAAUCCCCGGAAUAGUGAAAACAAUGACCAUUGUGUGUCGAGUACCUGCUCUGUCCUGGCAUCUUACAACUCUAUUCCAAAGUCUGUGCUGCUUCCACUUCUUUCCAUUUUGCAAGUUCUCAGCCUGGCAGCAGUCUCCCUGCCCAAGUGGAUAGUGCCACCACCUCUUACUGAAGGAGCGGUUUCUGAGGGAGAGCGCCUGUGCUGUGCAGCUGUCUCCCGCGAGGCGCCCUUUGACAAGUCUGUCUUCUGUCUCCCGUC
rnacentral:sRNA from 1 species